GACGGUUUGGCCGAGUGGUCUAAGGCGCCAGAUUUAGGCUCUGGUCCGAAAGGGCGUCUGGUUCAAAUCCCACAGCCGUCA
rnacentral:tRNA from 1 species